GCCUGGUCAGCUCAAUCGGUAGAGCGUGUGAUUCCUUAGCUAACCCGACACAGGGUCUUUGUAAGCACAAGACUGUGGGUUCGACCCCCCACAUCGGGCG